CAGCCACGGUAAUACCAGCCCCGCGAGUGGUCGGGGUGAUUAUUGGGCCUAAAAGCGGCCGUAGCCGGCCCGGUAAGUCCCCCCUGAAAGCCCCCGGGCUCAACCUGGGGAGCGGGGGGAUACUGCCGGGCUAGGGGGCGGGAGAGGCCGAGGGUACUCCCGGGGGUAGGGGCGAAAUCCAAUAAUCCCGGGAGGACCACCAGUGGCGAAGGC
rnacentral:rRNA from 1 species